rnacentral:rRNA from 1 species
AUUGAACGCCGGCGGCAUGCCUUACACAUGCAAGUCGAACGGUAACCGGCCGCAAGGUGCUGACGAGUGGCGAACGGGUGAGUAAUGCAUCGGAACGUGCCCAGUCGUGGGGGAUAACGCAGCGAAAGCUGCGCUAAUACCGCAUAAGAUCUAUGGAGGAAAGCGGGGGACCGUAAGGCCUCGCGCGAUCGGAGCGGCCGAUGUCGGAUUAGGUAGUUGGUGGGGUAAAGGCUCACCAAGACAACGAGCUGUAGCUGGUCUGAGAGGACGACCAGCCACACUGGGGCAGAGACACGGCGCAGACUCCUACGGGAGGCGGCAGUGAGGAAUUUUGGACAAUGGGCGCAAGCCUGAUCCAGCGAUGCCGCGUGCAGGAAGAAAGCCUUCGGGUUGUAAACUGCUUUUGUACGGAACGAAACGGUCCUGGUUAAUGCCUGGGGCUAAUGACGGUACCGUAAGAAUAAGCACCGGCUAACUACGUGCCAGCCGCCGCAGUAACAC